AGUGAACGCUGGCGGUAGGCCUAACACAUGCAAGUCGAACGGCAGCACAGAGGAGCUUGCUCCUUGGGUGGCGAGUGGCGGACGGGUGAGGAAUACAUCGGAAUCUACUCUGUCGUGGGGGAUAACGUAGGGAAACUUACGCUAAUACCGCAUACGACCUACGGGUGAAAGCAGGGGAUCUUCGGACCUUGCGCGAUUGAAUGAGCCGAUGUCGGAUUAGCUAGGUGGCGGGGUAAAGGCCCACCAAGGCGACGAUCCGUAGCUGGUCUGAGAGGAUACUCAGCCACACUGGAACUGGGAGACGGUCCAGGCUCCUACGGGAGGCAGCAGUGGGGAAUAUUGGACAAUGGGCGCAAGCCUGAUCCAGCCAUACCGCGUGGGUGAAGAAGGCCUUCGGGUUGUAAAGCCCUUUUGUUGGGAAAGAAAUCCAUCUGGUUAAUACCCGGGUGGGAUGACGGUACCCAAAGAAUAAGUACCGGCUAACUUCGUGCCAGCAGCCGCCGUAA
rnacentral:rRNA from 1 species